GAUAUCUCUUCUACCUGCCAUUUUACUAAAAUAUGUUCCACCACAUAUUUAUCAGUUAACCACUGUUAUUACAUGAGUGACACAUAUUCACAAAUCGGCUGAUCACUUAUUUUCCAUUAUGACGUUGAUAUAUAAUUUGCAGACUCCACAAAUGAAGAAAAGAGCACAAAUGACGUUGGCAAACCUGAAACUUUCCCAUUGGGCAAUAAACAUUACUCCAGUCAAAAACAUUAUGGAAGAGGCAAACCUGAAACUUUCCCAUUGGGCAAUAAACAUUACUCCAGUCAAAGACAUUAUGGAAGAGGCAAACCUGAAACUUUCCCAUUGGGCAAUAAACAUUACUCCAGUCAAAGACAUUAUGGAAGAGGCAAACCUGAAACUUUCCCAUUGGGCAAUAAACAUUACUCCAGUCAAAAACAUUAUGGAAGAGGCAAACCUGAAACUUUCCCAUUGGGCAAUCAGCAUUACUCCAGUCAAAAAAAGUAUGGAAGAGGUGCUUCUCCAUCCGACAAUCAACCAC
rnacentral:lncRNA from 1 species